UCUCAGGUCUCCACACCAGCAGAGAAGGUUGCUGAGACACCUCCAUCCACCAUCACACAGAACAAGGAUGAAUCAGGACCGAUUCUUUCAUCAAACAAAGCUGGAGUCGAUCGUCACCUUGUAAGCUACACGGAUUCUGAUGAGUCUCUGUGUCCAUGCACCAGUUCCUCCCAGCUAAAUGAAAGAUACUCACAGUUGAUUUCCUGUGAGUCGUUGAGGUCUGAGGUGUUGAUCACUGUGGUGUUGGAGGUCAGGGGGCUAGGGGUGGAUGCUGGUGGAGGGUCUGGACAAACCUUCUCUUGUUUUUCUGCUCAAGGUUACUUGAUUUACAUAGCAGAACAGGACUGUUUUUUUGUUUGUUUUUUUGAGACAGUAUCACUUAAAUGAUUGAUAUUAAUGAAUCAUAUUGUAAUGUUCACAUUCAAAAAAUCUGCUUGGAUUUGCAAAAAAUUGUUUUGAUACAAUUUAUUUUUCUUAUGUGAUAGCAGGGCUGUCAAGCUAUUAAAAAAUAGCCCUUGACCCAUGUCUGUCUGUUACUUAAGAUGACUUGUAGUAAUAAAAUCUUAAACAUUGCAUCA